GGUGGCAGAGUGGUUAAGUCUUUGGCUGUUAACCAGAAUGUUGGUGGUUCAAACCCACCAGCCA
rnacentral:tRNA from 1 species